rnacentral:piRNA from 1 species
UGAGCAGAAGCUACUAUGUCCUGCCCU